ensembl:lncRNA
CUUCUAGUCAGUAUUACUGAGACAACCCCAGGCUCUGAGGAACACCUUCUAGUCAGUAUUACUGAGACAACCCCAGGCUCUGAGGAACACCUUCUAUUCAGUAUUACUGAGACAACCCCAGGCUCUGAGGAACACCUUCUAGUCAGUAUUACUGAGACAACCCCAGGCUCUGAGGAACACCUUCUAGUCAGUAUUACUGAGACAACCCCAGGCUCUGAGGAACACCUUCUAGUCAGUAUUACUGAGACAACCCCAGGCUCUGAGGAACACCUUCUAGUCAGUAUUACUGAGACAACCCCAGGCUCUGAAGAACACCUUCUAUUCAAGUAUAUGCAGUCAUGCCCAUGUAGUAAGCACCUCAUCGACCUACCAGCCCCUACCUACCCAGCCUGACCCUAGAUCAGUCUUUCAACACAGACACAGUCCUCUCUGAUGAGGACAUUAUAAUAUCCACAGUCCUUCAUCACAGACAUAGUCCUCUCUGAUGAGGACAUUAUAAUAUCCACAGUCCUUCAACACAGACACAGUCCUCUCUGAUGAGGACAUUAUAAUAUCCAGUCCUUCAACACAGACAUAGUCCUCUCUGAUGAGGACAUUAUAAUAUCCACAGUCCUUCAACACAGACACAGUCCUCUCUGAUGAGGACAUUAUAAUAUCCAUCCUUCAUCACAGACACAGUCCUCUCUGAUGAGGACAUUAUAAUAUCCAGUCCUUCAUCACAGACACAGUCCUCUCUGAUGAGGACAUUAUAAUAUCCACAGUCCUUCAUCACAGACACAGUCCUCUCUGAUGAGGACAUUAUAAUAUCCACAGUCCUUCAUCACAGACACAGUCCUCUCUGAUGAGGACAUUAUAAUAUCCACAGUCCUUCGUCACAGACAUAGUCCUCUCUGAUGAGGACAUUAUAAUAUCCACAGUCCUUCAACACAGACACAGUCCUCUCUGAUGAGGACAUUAUAAUAUCCAGUCCUUCAACACAGACAUAGUCCUCUCUGAUGAGGACAUUAUAAUAUCCACAGUCCUUCAACACAGACACAGUCCUCUCUGAUGAGGACAUUAUAAUAUCCAGUCCUUCAACACAGACACAGUCCUCUCUGAUGAGGACAUUAUAAUAUCCAGUCCUUCAACACAGACACAGUCCUCUCUGAUGAGGACAUUAUAAUAUCCAGUCCUUCAACACAGACACAGUCCUCUCUGAUGAGGACAUUAUAAUAUCCAGUCCUUCAUCACAGACACAGUCCUCUCUGAUGAGGACAUCAUCACAAAGCCACUUCACCUCAGCUCUACUCUGCCUCAGCACAUUUAGUUUCUAAUCAUCCAAUAAUCUGAUAGAACAAAACCAAGUAGACAUUUUUGCUCUAAAAUCCUCUUUACAUCCAUUUUCAAAUAAAAAGCACCAUUGUUUUGCUGUGAGGAUAUACAUUUCACAGCAGCUGUACCAAGGAAUAGCACCUAAUAACUUAUUAUGUUGACAUCUCAUAUUUUGAUAGAUGCCAUUUCUCUCCCCCCUCUCCUCUUCCCCUCUUCUCUCCCCUCCCCUCCUCUCUCCCCUCUUCUCUCCCCUCCCCUUCUCUCCCC